AACAUGCCGCUCGUUAAACGAAAACUCAUGAACAAAUCUAUAAUAGAAAAAUGCAAGGCAUUAAAAGACCUAGAGACAGGGAUGUCUAACAAAGAGGUUGCCAAAAAGUUUGGAGUCCCAAAGAACACAUUAUCAACCUGGAUUAAAAUUAAAGCCAAGUUAUUAACCUCACUGGAAAAAAAUGGCACAAAAUCUAAACGGAAGAAACUUCGUAGUGGUAAUUUCAAAAAUGUAGACAAGGCCAUAUACACGUAGUUCGUUCGAACAAGAAGUCAACAAGUACCAAUUGAUGGUACCAUACUAAAAAAAAGGCACUAAAAUUCGCAGAAGCAUUAGGAGAGUUCGAUUUUAAAGCAUCUGAUUGUUGGUUUCAUAAUUGGAAAGAAAGGAACGGCAUCAGCUUUAAAAUAAUCUCAGGCGAAAGUGCCGCCGUGACGAAUAAUAUGACUGCUUCGUGAAACUAUAUAUAUAACGAAACUACACUUUCAACAUUGCUUUUGAAUUAAAAACUGGAAAACAUUUUCAAGGCCGAUGAGUUUGGACUAUUUUACCAGUGCCUACCAAACAAAAUAUACCAUUUAUCACGAGAAAAAUGUUUUGGGGGAAAAAUAGUAAAGUCAGACUAACAGGCAUAGCAGCAGGGAGUGCAACGGGAGAAAAAUUACCUAUGUUUGUUAUUGGAAAAUCUAAAAACCCACGGUGUUUUAAGCACAUUAAACAACUUCCUUGCACAUAUAAAAAUCAGCCAAAAAGUUGGAUGAACGGAGACCUUUUUACACAAUGGGUAAUGAAACUUGACUCAUUUUUUCGUGCUCAAGACAGGAAAGUAGCACUCCUGGUGGAUAACUGUUCUGCCCACCCACAUUGAAGGGCUAAACAACAUCAACCUAAUAUUUUCCCCCCUAACACCACAUCUGUCCUUCAGCCCAUGGAUCAAGGCUUAAUACGAAGUCUAUUAUCGUCACAAAAUUGUGCGUUUGUGUAUCAAGGCUGUCGAUAAUAACGAACCCAUGCCAAAAAUUUCUAUACUUCAAGCAAUGAAAGAUCUUGUUUCUUCGUGGAAUGCUGUGUCGAAGGAGACUGUCAUCAACUGCUUUAAAAAAGCUGGUAUCAGCAAAAACAACAAAAGUAUUGAAGAAGCUGAUGAUGAUCAUGCUUUUAAAUUUUUGACAGAAGAACUUAACCGUUUGCGAGAGUUAGACCAUCGUGCCGUCCAAGAAAAUCUUUCAGCGGAAUCUUACAUUGGUUUAGAUUGCAAUGUAGUAAACACCGGUUCACUUGCUACUGAUGCUGAAAUCAUUGCUCAGAUUUUAGACCCUAAUUUUGAA